AACUUUCAACAACGGAUCUCUUGGCUCUCGCAUCGAUGAAGAACGCAGCGAAAUGCGAUAAGUAAUGUGAAUUGCAGAAUUCAGUGAAUCAUCGAAUCUUUGAACGCACCUUGCGCCACCUGGCUCCGCCGGGGGGCAUGCCUGUUUGAGUGUCG
rnacentral:rRNA from 1 species